rnacentral:misc_RNA from 1 species
UUUCCGUAGGUGAACCUGCGGAAGGAUCAUUAGUGAAUUUUAGGGUGCUCUCUUGCUUUUUAACAAGCUCGAGAGGCCUGACCUCCACUCUCCAACUCUGUGCACCUUUCGGCAUUGGUGUUUUGAUCUGUGAGCGCAAGCUCUCAUGAGACGAACCUAAUGCGGCUCUUUUUAAAACAUGAGUUUAAGAAUGUAAACAAAUCAUAACAAAAAAAACUUUCAACAACGGAUCUCUUGGCUCUCGCAUCGAUGAAGAACGCAGC